CCUACGGGUGGCAGCAGUGAGGAAUAUUGGUCAAUGGGCGGAAGCCUGAACCAGCCAAGUAGCGUGCGGGAUGAAGGCCCUACGGGUCGUAAACCGCUUUUGCACGGGGAUAACACCCUCCACUUGUGGAGGUCUGCAGGUACCGUGCGAAUAAGGGCCGGCUAAUUCCGUGCCAGCAGCCGCGGUAAUACGGAAGGCCCGAGCGUUAUCCGGAUUCAUUGGGCUUAAAGGGAGCGUAGGCGGGCGUUCAAGUCAGCUGUAAAAUCGCGCGGCUCAACCGCGCCCCGCAGUUGAAACUGGACGCCUUGAGUUCACAACAGGCAGGCGGAAUUCGUGGUGUAGCGGUGAAAUGCUUAGAUAUGACGAAGAACCCCGAUUGCGAAGGCAGCUUGCUGCAGCGGAACUGACGCUGAUGCUCGAAAGCGCGGGUAUCGAACAGGAUUAGAUACCCGAGUAGUC
rnacentral:rRNA from 1 species